ensembl:lncRNA
GUCUAGUGGGUCUAGUAGUGGGUCAGUAGGUCUAGUGGGACUAGUAGUGGGUCAGUAGGUCUAGUGGGUCUAGUAGUGGGUCAGUAGGUCUAGUUGGUCUAGUAGUGGGUCAGUCGGUCUAGUGGGACUAGUAGUGGGUCAGUAGGUCUAGUGGGUCUAGUAGUGGGUCUAGUGGGACUAGUAGUGGGUCAGUAGGUCUAGUGGGACUAGUAGUGGGUCAGUCGGUCUAGUGGGUCUAGUAGUGGGUCAGUAGGUCUAGUGGGUCUAGUAGUGGGUCAGUCGGUCUAGUGGGUCUAGUAGUGAGUCAGUAGGUCUAGUGGGUCUAGUAGUGGGUCAGUAGGUCUAGUGGGACUAGUAGUGGGUCAGUAGGUCUAGUGGGUCUAGUAGUGGGUCAGUAGGUCUAGUGGGACUAGUAGUGGGUCAGUAGGUCUAGUGGGUCUAGUAGUGG